GUUCUAUUCUUUGGGUGCUUCUUGCUAAAAUUUUAUGAAAAUGGUCAAUUUUGUAAAUAUGAGGUUUAUUCUGUUGAAAAGUUUACUAAGUUUGGACGGUAUACGUAUUUGAAAGUUUUGCAAGAUUAGAAAGCAACGUUAGCUUGAAGGAAGAUUCAAUAGCUGGAAGGAGAUGAUAUUUGUUCUUUCUCUUAGUUUUUGGUCUCAAAUUGUAGUCAUAAUGAUUCUAACAGUUAAAACUUCCAUCUGAGUAUUGUUCAGGUUUAUGGAAAUGAUGACCCUUGUCCUUUCUGGGGAAACUUGGCGUUGCAGGGCAUAUGAUUCAGAAUGAUUUAGUGCAUGGAUGGGGAUUGGAUUUUUCUCUCAGAAGAUCUAUAGAGAGGACUUCCUUGAAUGGAAAGAAAUGAAGUAUCAAGUAUCAAGAUUAAGUUGGACUUGCUUGGACCGUAUGCAUCAACAGGAAGGAAUUUGAAUAUAAGUGCCAACUCAAUUCCAGUCUAAAUAUUAAGCAACAGAAUCAUGUCUAAAUUAUUUUUUGGAUAGAUCGUUUAUGAGCUUCGCUCUCUCUAUAGGAAUGCCUGUCAUAUAUGAAACAUUUUAUUUGACAUGUUUAUGAGACAGAGUAUUUCGAU